CCCUCACACAUAGCGUCCUACAUCCUCCGGGAGGGGUGAGAGGUGAGAUUUCCGAACCUAAGGCGCGUGGCUUAAUUAUCUCCUGCAGACGUGCGAUCUCGGGCUGCGAAGCGGUUCGGUUUUUGCAUGGGUUCGGAAAUCUCACCGAUUUUCGCUCCUCCCAACCGGAUCCAGCACCCAUACACAACAAAUCCAGCCUGAGAAGGUUGCAGAGUUGGGUCCCUAACAAGCUCUGCCUUCCCUUUUCCUUGCUGUAUCUUCAGCAGUCUCCGAAUAGCUGAGGAGCGAACGCAGAAUUGCAUAGGACGCGUCUGUAUCUGACAGCGGACCCUCCCAGGCCCGCCCAUGUAACGGACGGGACGCGAUGCGACAGCUUGAUGACCUUCUUCCGCUAUUUCACAACAGUUAAAAAUGUCAUGGUCACGUGGUAAAGAGGUCACAUGACUGUGACGUUUGCUAAGGUCCUUCUGCUUUGAGAGGAAGGAAAAGAAGGUCUACCAUUUCGUUUAUUACUAUAUUGCUUAGGCUGUCAGGCAGCUUGCCAACAACUUGUGUGGACAGCUGUAUGACGUCAGCAAGUGCCACGGUGCGCCGGCUCUAUUUGUUCUCUGUCUCAGCAGUAAGUCCGGUGAAUGAGUUACCUUCUGGCAUGUCUGGUGGCUUGUGUGCGCGUGUUUGACAGGUAAACAACACGUGAGUCCAGCUCGGCAUGCGUAUGGGUCCGAGGCUCGAGUGACAUAUCCGUCGUGCUCAUACUUCUUGGUGAGGGACCGGGGUGAAAGGCGCUGAGUAUCAGACAGAAGCCGGGAGGAGACGACUAGCAGUCAUUAUGGCCGGCGGAGGCGGCCCGGGCUGCGAAGGUGCCAGCCAGAGUGAACGCGAUCGUCAAUACUGUGAACUUUGCGGCAAAAUGGAGAACUUGUUACGGUGUGGCCGCUGUCGCAGCUCCUUCUACUGCAGCAAAGAGCAUCAGCGGCAGGACUGGAAGAAACACAAGCUGGUGUGUAAGGGCACGGAGGCGAAACCUGCAGGAAAGAACACGGAGCCCACCAAGCCUUCUCCAGCCAAUCAUUCCAGUGCGGGCUCCGCGCCGCUAAAGUCCGGCAAACAAGCGGAACAGACUCACACUCCGCAAGCCGGACCUGCCGCCAACAGCCUGCCCGGGAAAACCGCUUCGCAGUGCCCACAUUCCAAACAGCGGGAGCUGGUGGUCGGAGGGGCAACCCUGAGAGCGAUCAACGAGGAAGACUACACGCAGAAGUCGGGGGAGGCUUGUGGCAGUGCCACCAGCAGUCGAGGAGAGGACGGGCUGGAGAGGCCCAACGGGCACAACAAGCCUUUCCUCCAGAAACUGGCCCUGGAGUACAUCAUCCCGUGCAUGAACAAGCAUGGCAUCUGUGUACUGGACGACUUUCUGGGCCAGGACAUCGGGGAGCGAAUAGUUGGCGAAGUAAAAGCCUUGCACAGCACGGGACGCUUCACUGACGGCCAGCUGGUAAGCCAGAAGAGCGACUCCUCCAAGGACAUUCGAGGGGACCAGAUCACUUGGGUGGAGGGCAAGGAGGCAGGAUGUAAGGCCAUCGGGCACCUGAUGAACAGCAUGGACGACCUGAUCCGCCACUGCGGGGGCAAGCUGGGCAACUUCAGGAUAAACGGGAGAACCAAGGCAAUGGUGGCUUGUUACCCUGGAAAAGGAACAGGCUAUGUGCGACAUGUUGACAACCCAAAUGCAGAUGGAAGAUGUGUUACUUGCAUAUAUUAUUUAAAUAAGAACUGGGAUGCAAAGGCAAAUGGAGGUGUACUUAGAAUAUUUCCAGAAGGCAAAUCUCAAUUUGCGGAUAUUGAACCGAAAUUUGACAGACUACUAUUUUUUUGGUCAGAUCGGCGCAAUCCUCAUGAAGUUCAACCUGCAUUUGCUACAAGGUACGCAAUAACUGUGUGGUACUUUGAUGCAGAUGAACGAGCACGAGCUAAAGAGAAGUAUCAGACAGGGAAACAUCUUAUCUGCCCAGAAUAUAAUCGACUGAACAGUGAGUGACUCUUUCCCUAUUGUAUUCUACAUAUGACUAUGAUGAUAUGAAGAAGGUUGGGGGUGAAAAAUCUGUGAGGAUUGAGCUGAACAAGUCAUCAGAUGGGGUCAUGAAAGAAGUCUUUUAAGAGCUGGGAACUAGCAGCUCUUUUGCUCUUUCUGUAUACAAUAUAUACAAAGACACCUGAAAACCAUGUAUUACCUGAAUCUCUUGCUGCAUUAUGUUGUGAAUGUAAAUAAUAGUAAAGCAUAUGUAUAAUUACUAGAUGAUGCACCAAUAAACCUAAAGUAAUGCACUGGUCUGUGCCAGUAUUGCCACUACCUAUUUUAAGAAAAUUUGCGUAUGCUACUCACUCAUGCAUAUCUCUCUUUUCCUGUAUUAAUUCCUUACUAUUGUAUUUACAAUUUUGCCAUCACAAAUUUGUCUUUUCUGACCCAAUUAGAACUAUAAAAUGACAGUACAAUGACUUAAUUUUUAUUCACACUUUUAAGUAGAGGGUUUACAUUGUAGCUGAAUUUACUACUGAUUUACUACUGUACUCUUUUAUAGACUUGCAUAGACAAGACUUUAAAUAGGCACUGUCACAUACAAAACCUUUUUUUGUUGUACAUCUUGGAAAAACCUUUCUAAUAUACUUCAUAAAAAAUUU